rnacentral:rRNA from 1 species
CUGAUCUUCCCGUGAAGAAGCGGAAAUUAAUUUAUAAGACGAGAAGACCCCAUGGAGCUUUAAACCCAAUUACAUCCUUAUAUUUAAAAUCUUCAUAGCUUUUAAGGUAUUGUAUAUUCGGUUUUAGGUUGGGGUGACCGCGGAGCAUAAAUAAGCCUCCACGAUGAAUGGAAUUAUUUUCCUUAUCUAAGAACUACAUUUCUAAGAAUUAAUAUUUUAACAUAUAAUGAUCCAAUAUUUGAUCAACGAACCAAGUUACCCUGGGGAUAACAGCGCAAUCCACUUCAAGAGCCCCUAUCGACAAGUGGG